rnacentral:rRNA from 1 species
AGAGUUUGAUCCUGGCUCAGGAUGAACGCUGGCGGCGUGCCUAAUACAUGCAAGUCGAACGCUUUGUCUUUAAUUGAUCUGACGAGCUUGCUCCGAUGUGAUUUUAUCUGACAAAGAGUGGCGAACGGGUGAGUAACACGUGGGUAACCUACCUCUUAGCAGGGGAUAACAUUUGGAAACAAGUGCUAAUACCGUAUAAUACCAACAACCGCAUGGUUGUUGGUUGAAAGAUGGUUCUGCUAUCACUAAGAGAUGGACCCGCGGUGCAUUAGCUAGUUGGUAAGGUAAUGGCUUACCAAGGCAAUGAUGCAUAGCCGAGUUGAGAGACUGAUCGGCCACAAUGGGACUGAGGCACGGCCCAUACUCCUACGGGAGGCAGCAGUAGGGAAUCUUCCACAAUGGGCGCAAGCCUGAUGGAGCAACGCCGCGUGUGUGAUGAAGGGUUUCGGCUCGUAAAACACUGUUAUAAGAGAAGAACGGCACUGAGAGUAACUGUUCAGUGUGUGACGGUAUCUUACCAGAAAGGAACGGCUAAAUACGUGCCAGCAGCCGCGGUAAUACGUAUGUUCCAAGCGUUAUCCGGAUUUAUUGGGCGUAAAGCGAGCGCAGACGGUUAUUUAAGUCUGAAGUGAAAGCCCUCAGCUCAACUGAGGAAUGGCUUUGGAAACUGGAUGACUUGAGUGCAGUAGAGGAAAGUGGAACUCCAUGUGUAGCGGUGAAAUGCGUAGAUAUAUGGAAGAACACCAGUGGCGAAGGCGGCUUUCUGGACUGUAACUGACGUUGAGGCUCGAAAGUGUGGGUAGCAAACAGGAUUAGAUACCCUGGUAGUCCACACCGUAAACGAUGAGUGCU